GACGAACGCUGGCGGCGUGCUUAACACAUGCAAGUCGAACGGUAAGGCCUUUCGGGGUACACGAGUGGCGAACGGGUGCGUAACACGUGGGUGAUCUGACCUGCACUUCGGGAUAAGCCCGGGCAACGGGGACUACGACCGAAUCGGGCUGCGCGGUGCAUGCCCUUUGGUGGGAAGUUUUAUCGGUUCAGGAUGGGCCCGCGGCCUCUCAGCUUGUUCGUGUGGGAAUGGCCUUCCAAGGCGAAGGCGGGUAGGCGGCCUGAGAGGGGGACCGGGCACACUGGGAAUGAGACACGGCCCAGACUCCUACGGGAGGCAGCAGGGGGGAAUAUUGCAAAAUGGGCGCAAGCCUGAUGCAGCGACGCCGGGGGAGGGAUGACGGCCUUCGGGUUGUAAACCUCUUUCAGCAGGGACGAAGCGGGAGUGACGGUACCUGGAGAAGAAGCCCCGGCCAACUACGUG
rnacentral:rRNA from 1 species